rnacentral:lncRNA from 1 species
UGCCAAGCAUAGCAUUUUAUUUGUUUUGAUUUUUCUUGCAAUAUGAAAAGUAUUUCAAGGAAGUGUAGUUGCUUGUAUUUACAACUCUUUCCUUUUAAAUUACAAAAAAGCAAUAACAAAAUAUUGUACAUUAGGAAUAAGCAAGGUAAUCACAAAUUUUAACAAAAUAUACAGAAAGCACAUAUAUCAAACACAGCACACAUAAAAAAGGAAUUUACAACAUAACAUUACACAAAAAUCAAUCUGAUUGAAAAACAGACCUGUGUCCACACUUUACUUAAAAGGAUCUGAUAAUGCUCCAGUCUACUUUCUGUUUAAAAACUUUUAGGGUCUCUCUGGUUUUAUCACAAUGAUUAUAGCUAAUGUAAUUAAAACUAGGAUUUUAUUUGAUUUUUGGUGUUUUAACGGUACUUUUAGGCACUGCAUUUAGGCUAUUUCGUUGUGGCCAGUUUUUAUAGGUGGAGGAAGCCGGAGUGCCCGGAGAAAACCACUAACCUUUGAUAGGAAAACUGACAAUCCUAGUCAAAUAAGAUUGGAGUCAAUGCACCGGCAUGAACGAGGUUCUCACAACCCCAGUGUUGACUAGCUAGUGAUUACAGUAGUAACUACUUAGACAACUGGGCCACAGAGGCCCCUAAUUAUAACUAGGGCAAAGUACAAGUCUUUUCAGAUGUUGGACAAAGUACAAGUGUUUUCAUAUGUUGGACAAAGUACAAGUGUUUUCAUAUGUUGUCUAAGCCAAGGGUGGACACCAGAUCUGUAUUUUAAUCAGAUUUUUCAUAAACUGAGAACUUUUAAUAUAAAUAAUUGUAUAUACAAUUUUAUGUAACAUGUAUUUAUGAGGUACUAAGGUUUAUUAAUUAUACUAGUUUGUUAAAAAAAUACUUCUAAUAACCAAUAGUUUAUUUUUCAAUGGGAAAAAAAGAAGAAAUUAAGAAACGACUUGAUAAAAUGCCAAUUGUCUGAAAUGUUCAUACUUCUAGAUAUUUUCAAAAGGUUGAUAUUUAAAAUUGGAAUAUGUAUAAUAUACAAAGGAAAAUAAUGAAAGUGGGUGUACACAAAAUUUUAAAUCCACCAUCUUGAGCACAAAAAUAUUGAAUGACCAUUUUUCAAAGGAGAUUAACAUUAGCAGUAUUGUUUGGUUUUUGCAUCAAAUCUGCACUAUAAAAAAUUGUUUACAUGAACAAUAUAUUAUCUGUGAAAAAACAUUGAUGAUGUUACAGUAUUAUAACACUUAUAAAAACAUAUAGGAAUUGAACACUGGAUAUAUGCAGAGAAAAAAUGUUGGUCAUCCAAAGAUGAAAUCAAAUGUCCAGCUAAAUCUUGUGUUGAGUCUUAAAGCCAAUUGAAAUAAAGAGUGUCUUAAAAUUUCAUGUCUUCUAACCCCAUGCACCACUUUAAUUGUAUGCUUGUAACAGGUCAAGCUAUCUGGACCAUGUGACUUUUGUUUUAUGAUUACUGUAGAUUCAUUUAUUUUUGUGGGUACCAAUUUUUGGGAUAACAGAAAACGUGUAUGUUCUUGGAUAUUUAAUUUGGUGGUUUUGCUGAGGUCUGCAUACAAGCCUAUAUAAAAUUUGUAAUUCGUUGAACAUUCAAUUUUAUGGUUUACCUGCACCAACGAAAUAAACGAAAAUUGGUAUUUAAUGAUUUAUAAUGAAUCCACAGUAUCAAGGUUCAGCUAAUUUUGUAAAAUCAUAAGUUCAUAAUUACCUUUUAUCUAAGCCACAGAAGCAUGUCUAUAUUUUGACAUGAAUUUUGUAUGCUGUUUUGUUUUGAUGUUAAAUUAGCUGAAUAAUUAAAAGUAAAUUUCUAGUAGAAGUUGAGAAAUAGGAAUACUUUACAAAGGAUUUUAAAUUGCACAUUAUAAGGUCUGCUACAGUACAAAUGACACACAUAAGCCCUGUAUAAAAAUACAUGUAUUAAAAACUUGGAAUAGAUUCUCAUAAAGCUUAACACUUUUAAAAUAAAUAAAUUAAUUAACAAGUAAAAAUAUCAAUUUCUAAAAAAUGCAUACAAAAAUAAAUAACUUAUGUACACUGAAAUCACACAUUUUGGUCUAAGCACUAAUUUUACUGUUCUUUAACAUACAAUAUAUAUAUUAUGAUAGUCUAUUUAAAUGCUCACAUAUAAUUUUAAGUCUGCAAUGACUGUGUGACCCUAUUUGCAGUAUUAUUAUUUGCUUAUUAAAA